rfam:Asian citrus Psyllid, Diaphorina citri - Florida Strain, whole genome shotgun sequence.
GCCAGCGGCCAUAGCACGUUGAAUGGACCAGUUCCCGAAGGAUCACUGAAGUUAAGCAACGUUACGCGUUGUUGGUAUCUGGAUAGGUGACCACCAAUCUCUAUCAAUGCCAUAA